UACGUAGGGGCGAGCGUUGUCCGGAAUGAUUGGGCGUAAAGGGCGCGCAGGCGGCCUGUCAAGUCAGUAGUGGAAGUCCAUUUUUCAAGGAUGGAAGUGCUAUAGAAACUGAUGGGCUUGAGUGCAGGAGAGGUUAUCGGAAUUCCCGGUGUAGCGGUGAAAUGCGUAGAGAUCGGGAGGAACACCAGUGGCGAAGGCGGGUAACUGGACUGCAACUGACGCUGAGGCGCGAAAGUGUGGGGAGCAAACAGGAUUAGAUACCCCCCGUAGU
rnacentral:rRNA from 1 species